UCUGACACCCAGGGCAAGCGCCACGUGGGGAACCGGUUACUGCCUGCAGAACCACAAAGGCAGCCCCGCUCUUUCGUCUGCCCAAGGAGGCUGUGAAGUGCCAUCGUAGAGGCCUGGGUGACACCACAGCUCCGGGGACGGCUGGGAGGGGAGGAAGCACUGGCGGGCGAGCUGGCGUGGAGACUUGCCCUGGUGUAUGGUCAGCAUUUUGGAGCUUGAAUUGAUCCUCAGUGGAGUGUUUUCCUCGUUUUUUGUCUGUUGUAGCCUGUGCAGUGUACAGCUAACUGUCUGCUGCCAUGCUGCCUGUGAAAGAUGUAUUUUUGGAAGGGAGGCUGGGCUAAGGGGACAACUGAUGGGAGGGAGAAAACACUUGGCCUGUGCUGGGCUGAGGAUCUUGGAGAUGGGUGCAUUGGCCAAAGCUGGAGUUUGUCUUUAUGUAACUUCUAAGUGGAGAGAAGCAGGACUGAGAUGGUUUACAGGAAGUGUGGUUGGCCCGAACUCUUGUGGGUACCGAUGGCAGGAUGUGCCCCGUGAGGAUGCGGCCUGA
rnacentral:lncRNA from 1 species